GGUUCUAUCGUAUAAUGGUUAGUACACAAGAUUCUGAUACAAAUCCUCGGAUAUCACAAUUCUUGUAAUCUGGGUUCGAUCCCCAGUAGGACCU
rfam:Cryptococcus amylolentus CBS 6039 supercont1.13, whole genome shotgun sequence.